CCUACGGGAGGCAGCAGUAAGGAAUAUUGGUCAAUGGGUGGAAGCCUGAACCAGCCAUGCCGCGUGCAGGAAGGAGGCCCUACGGGUUGUAAACUGCUUUUGUACGGGAAUAAACCUGUCUUCGUGAAGGCAGCUGAAUGUACCGUAAGAAUAAGGAUCGGCUAACUCCGUGCCAGCAGCCGCGGUAAUACGGAGGAUCCGAGCGUUAUCCGGAAUUAUUGGGUUUAAAGGGUGCGUAGGCGGUUUCCUAAGUCAGUGGUGAAAGACGGUGGCUCAACCAUCGCAGUGCCGUUGAUACUGGGGGACUUGAAUGUACUUGAGGGAAGCGGAAUGUGGCAAGUAGCGGUGAAAUGCAUAGAUAUGCCACAGAACACCGAUAGCGUAGGCAGCUUUCCAAGGUAUGAUUGACGCUGAGGCACGAAAGCGUGGGGAUCGAACAGGAUUAGAUACCCUGGUAGUCCACGCCCUAAACGAUGAACACUCGAUGUCGGCGAUAUACGGUCGGCGUCCA
rnacentral:rRNA from 1 species